CUCGACAAUGGAUAUGUCGACUCUUGCAUCGUUGACGAACGUAGUGAAAUACGAUACUUGGUGUGAAUUGCAGAAUCCCGUGAACCAUUGAGUAUUUGAACGCAAGUUGUGGUAGAAGUUUUCUGGCCAAGGGCACCGUCUUCUUGGGCAUCAUG
rnacentral:rRNA from 1 species